UGGUCCAGUGGCUAGGACUCUGCACUCUCAAUUCAGGGGACCAGGUUUGACUCCUGG
rnacentral:tRNA from 1 species